rnacentral:rRNA from 1 species
AUGCAUCAGAAAGAUAGCAAGAAACCACAGUAUAUAACACAACAGCAAAGACAAACUGAAUUCAGGCUCACUUAUUCAUUGUUCACCAAAGCUGCUGCACACCAGCAGAAGUUCGAAGAUACAAAUGGUAACACUGCAUCAAUGUACGGUACAGAAACAAAGACAGGAUCAGGCAACCGCAGACACAAACGAGACUCAAUGAAGGACACCAAAGACCAGACUUGCGGACCCAGAGACCAAAGCAGAGCUCCAUGGCCAGGAGCUUUACUGGCCACCACGGAGACGGAGCACCAAGUGAAGGGUGGACUCCUUCUGGAUGUUGUAGUCCGCCAGGGUGCGGCCAUCCUCAAGCUGCUUACCAGCAAAGAUCAGGCGCUGCUGGUCCGGGGGGAUGCCCUCCUUGUCCUGGAUCUUCGCCUUCACGUUGUCAAUGGUGUCAGAUGA